GAAGGGGGCUAGCGUUGUUCGGAAUUACUGGGCGUAAAGCGAGUGUAGGUGGUUGUCCAAGUUGGAUGUGAAAGCCUUGAGCUCAACUCAAGAAAUGCAUUCAGGACUGGAUGACUAGAGGACCGGAGAGGAUAGUGGAAUUCCCAGUGUAGUGGUGAAAUACGUAGAGAUUGGGAAGAACACCAGUGGCGAAGGCGGCUAUCUGGACGGUUUCUGACACUAAGACUCGAAAGCGUGGGGAGCAAACAGGAUUAGAUACCCUGGUAGUCCACGCCGUAAACGAUGGGUGCUAGACGUUGGCGAGCUUGCUCGUCAGUGUCGCAGCUAACGCGUUAAGCACCCCGCCUGGGGAGUACGGCCGCAAGGUUGAA
rnacentral:rRNA from 1 species